GGUAAAUUACAAACACCCCCCUGAGGUAUCGUCAAAUUACAAAAACACCCCUCUUGUUUGGAUAAUUACAACCACCCCCUCAGCUCUUCAAAUUUAGUGGAAUCUUCGAGAUUAUAUGAAAUAUUAUCACUUUUGUACCCGUUUUAUACUAUUCAAACUCUACAUUAUGAAGUAAGAUGAUCAUAAUAUGUGAUUUUUAGCUUGUGUAUAUCAGUUUGUGGUGCAUCGGAAACUGUAUUUUUACACAAAACGAAUACAAACUAGAGCACAUUCCACGGAAUCUAGAUGAUUGUAUUGAAUUUGGCACAAUAAGGAUGGAGGUGUAAGAAAAAAUCAUAUUUGAGGGGGUAGAUGUCAUUAUCCAAACAAGAG
rnacentral:lncRNA from 1 species